rnacentral:rRNA from 1 species
CAGCCGCCGCGGUAAUACGUAUGUCACGAGCGUUAUCCGGAUUUAUUGGGCGUAAAGCGCGUCUAGGUGGUUAUAUAAGUCUGAUGUGAAAAUGCAGGGCUCAACCCUGUAUUGCGUUGGAAACUGUAUAACUAGAGUACUGGAGAGGUAAGCGGAACUACAAGUGUAGAGGUGAAAUUCGUAGAUAUUUGUAGGAAUGCCGAUGGGGAAGCCAGCUUACUGGACAGAUACUGACGCUGAAGCGCGAAAGCGUGGGUAGCAAACAGGAUUAGAUACCCCGGUAGUCCCUGUCUCUUAUACA